AGAGAAAGACGACUAAAGUUUCUUAAACUAUCUAAUCAUAUAGUUUAUUCUCAACGCUGUUAAUUAUAAUCAUAUAAAGUGGAGUCUCAUAGCUCAGCUGGUUAGAGCGCUACACUGAUAAUGUAGAGGUCGGCAGUUCAAGUCUGCCUGAGACUACUACGUUUAGUUUUAAUACUAAAUAAAUGAGGAUUUUAGUAGCUGAGUUUAUGAUUCUAAGAGCUCAUUUUUAUAUGGGGGAUUAGCUCAGCUGGCUAGAGCGCUAGAUUUGCAUUCUAGAGGUCGUGGGUUCGACUCCCACAUUCUCCACAAUCAGCUUUAUGCUGAAAAUGUUCAUUGACAUACUGAAAAAAAUACAUGAAAUUAGAAAAUUUCUAAACAAAUCUAAAUUUGAUUAAUUAAUUAAUUAAUCAGGUUUACGAGCAAUAUAAUUUAUAACUCAUAAAAAUACAAAAGUUAC
rnacentral:tRNA from 1 species